ACUCAUAGAUCACAUCCUGUAUGAAACUCUUUCCAUUUGGAUCUAAAAUCUCUAUUUCACUAGGUAACUUUUUGGACACAUUUACCUCAAUGAGCAUACAAGCAUAAGAGAUUCUAGACUGUUUAGUAGUGCAUUCAUCAGCAUAUAUAGGUUUACCAAGGACACUGGAAAUCCUGCUUAAGGACUUGCUGCCCCAACAAGACAUUGGUAAGUUAGGAAACUUUAUCCAUAA
rnacentral:lncRNA from 1 species